rnacentral:other from 2 species
UAACCCCUGCGGUGUUCGUAGAGACGUAGUAUUGAAAGAACCGAUGCCACCCUUAGGGGAAGCCAGACCUGAAGGACUGCACAUGCCUGCUUUGACUGGACUUGCAGACUUCAGCAACGGCUGCCCACUUUGUUAAUAAGGGUUCCUUUCAACGUCGUUUUUACGGCACAGGCGGAGGUAUC